CUACUAUUGAAGCUCCAUCUACAAAUGGAUAAUAUUUUUGUUUUUGUGUAGACGAGUUUUUGAAAAUAAUGAUCCCUAUCGACCCAAGGGGGGUCGAUAGGGAUCAUUAUUGAGUCGGUUUCUUUAGUAGUUUUUUUUUUUAGUAUUUUUYUGCUUUUCUUUUUUUUCGUUGAUUUAGUAUGAUAUUUUUGGUAGGCACUAAUACUACUAAWAAAUUUAUAAAAGAUAAAUAGAUAAAAAUUUUCUACUAUUAUCUAAUAUUAUAAGUUAAUUUAAUAAAAAAGAAGGAGUUUUUUCUCCUCCRAUCUUUAUUUGUAUCUUAAUAAGUAAGAUAAAAUAAAAAAAAAAAUAAUGAUCAAUGGUUCAAUUUUUUGUAAAUAGCCGAGGGGCGGAUGUAG
rnacentral:misc_RNA from 1 species